rnacentral:rRNA from 1 species
CCUACGGGGGGCUGCAGUGGGGAAUAUUGGACAAUGGGCGAAAGCCUGAUCCAGCCAUGCCGCGUGUGUGAAGAAGGCCUUCGGGUUGUAAAGCACUUUCAGUGGGGAAGAAAGCCUUGGGGCUAAUCCCCUCGAGGAAGGACAUCACCCACAGAAGAAGCACCGGCUAACUCCGUGCCAGCAGCCGCGGUAAUACGGAGGGUGCGAGCGUUAAUCGGAAUUACUGGGCGUAAAGCGCGCGUAGGCGGUCUGAUAAGCCGGUUGUGAAAGCCCCGGGCUCAACCUGGGAACGGCAUCCGGAACUGUCAGGCUAGAGUGCAGGAGAGGAAGGUAGAAUUCCCGGUGUAGCGGUGAAAUGCGUAGAGAUCGGGAGGAAUACCAGUGGCGAAGGCGGCCUUCUGGACUGACACUGACGCUGAGGUGCGAAAGCGUGGGUAGCAAACAGGAUUAGAUACCCCAGUAGUC